GAUGAACGCUAGCGGCAGGCCUAACACAUGCAAGUCGAGGGAGAAGCCCUUUCGGGGGCAGAAACCGGCGCACGGGUGCGUAACGCGUAUGCAACCUACCUUUCACAGGGGGAUAGCCCGAAGAAAUUUGGAUUAAUACCCCAUAAUAUUAUUGGAUGGCAUCAUUUGAUAAUUAAAACUGCGGUGGUGAAAGAUGGGCAUGCGUCCUAUUAGCUAGUUGGAGUGGUAACGGCACCCCAAGGCUACGAUAGGUAGGGGUCCUGAGAGGGAGAUCCCCCACACUGGUACUGAGACAGGGACCAGACUCCUACGGGAGGCAGCAGUGAGGAAUAUUGGUCAAUGGUCGGAAGACUGAACCAGCCAUGCCGCGUGCAGGAAGAAUGCCUUAUGGGUUGUAAACUGCUUUUAUAUGGGAAGAAUAAGGCGUACGUGUACGUUGANGACGGUNCCA
rnacentral:rRNA from 1 species